ACAAAGCCACAUUGCUUCCCUAGAGGAAUUUUUACAGAGGCAACAUCACCAUAUUUGGCAAAUGCCUUCCUCAGCUCAUCUUCGCUGACAUUUGGAUCGAGCCCACCAACAUAUACCUAAAGGAGAUCAACAACUACAUAUUAGAAAUUAUCAGGCAACAGGGUGACAAACACCACAUACCUGAAGACCUUCUGGGAGUUGCAGGUCCAAUACGAAUUGGCCUAGUAGAGCAAUACGCACCAUUCAUUUCAGUCAUUGCAUGGGAUUUGUCAUUGUCAUCUCCAAAUCUAACAAACCCAUAGCCCCUAGAACGGCCUGUGUUUGCAUCAAUAAUAACUUUAGCUCCUUUCACAGAGCGGUACUUAUUAGCAAAAAGCUCCAUCAACAUUUCAUCAGUAACAUCAGCAGCUAGAUCACCAACGAAAAUUGAGUAGUCAGAAGCAACUUCAGAUCGCUUUUCACCCAUGCUAUAUGAAGCCCAGUUUAACUUGAAAGGUCGAUCAGUGUUAGGCAUCACAUGACCAGUAAAAUUCUGAAGAGCCUUCUCUGCCGAUCCGUGAGAGUAGAACUCUACAAAACCAUAUCCCUCGGAUUGUCCAGUUUGUCUAUUGCGGAU
rnacentral:sRNA from 1 species